AGACGUAGGGGGCGAGCGUUGUCCGGAAUUACUGGGCGUAAAGAGCGCGUAGGCGGGUAAUUAAGUCAGAUGUGAAAGACCGGGGCCUAACCCCGGGGUUGCAUCUGAAACUGGAUAUCUUGAGGGCAGGAGAGGAAAGUGGAAUUCCUGGUGUAGCGGUGAAAUGCGUAGAAAUCAGGAGGAACACCAGUGGCGAAGGCGACUUUCUGGACUGACCCUGACGCUGAUGUGCGAAAGCGUGGGUAGCAAACAGGAUUAGAUACCCUGGUAGUCCACGCUGUAAACGAUGGAUACUAGGUGUGGGAGGUAUCGACCCCUUCCGUGCCGGAGCUAACGCAAUAAGUAUCCCGCCUGGGGAGUACGGUCGCAAGGCUGAA
rnacentral:rRNA from 1 species